GGGCCCGCACAAGCGGUGGAGCAUGUGGUUUAAUUCGAUGAUACGCGAGGAACCUUACCAGGGCUUAAAUGCAGAGCGACAGAGGUGGAAACACCUCCUUCUUCGGACGGUCUGCAAGGUGCUGCAUGGUUGUCGUCAGCUCGUGCUGUGAAGUGUCGGGUUAAGUCCCAUAACGAGCGCAACCCCUAUUUCUAGUUGCCAGCGGUUCGGCCGGGGACUCUAGAGAAACUGCCAGCGUAAGCUGUGAGGAAGGUGGGGAUGACGUCAAAUCAUCACGGCCCUUACGUCCUGGGCCACACACGUGCUACAAUGGUAAGGACAGAGAGUUGCCAACCCGCGAGGGUGAGCUAAUCUUUAAAAGUACGUCUCAGUUCGGAUUGAAGUCUGCAACUCGACUUCAUGAAGCUGGAAUC
rnacentral:rRNA from 1 species